rnacentral:rRNA from 12 species
GCCUACGGCCAUACCGUCCUGCCAGUGCCCGAUCCUGUCUGAUCUCAGAAGCUAAGCAGGACCAGGCCUUGUUAGGGAGACCGCCUGGGAAUACCAGGUGCUGUAGGCU